UACAGAGGUCUCAAGCGUUGUUCGGAUUCAUUGGGCGUAAAGGGUGCGUAGGUGGCGCGCUAAGUCGGGUGUGAAAUGCCGAGGCUCAACCUCGGCACUGCAUUCGAUACUGGCGUGCUUGAGGACUGGAGAGGAGACUGGAAUUCAUGGUGUAGCAGUGAAAUGCGUAGAUAUCAUGAGGAAGACCAGUGGCGAAGGCGGGUCUCUGGACAGUUCCUGACACUGAGGCACGAAGGCCAGGGGAGCAAAC
rnacentral:rRNA from 1 species